CCUACGGGGGGCAGCAGUGAGGAAUCUUGGUCAAUGGGCGCGAGCCUGAACCAGCCAAGUAGCGUGAAGGAUGACUGCCCUACGGGCUGUAAACUUCUUUUAUAAAGGAAUAAAGUGAGGCACGUGUGCCUUUUUGUAUGUACUUUAUGAAUAAGGAUCGGCUAACUCCGUGUCAGCAGCCGCGGUAAUACGGAGGAUCCGAGCGUUAUACGGGUUUAGUGGGGUUAAAGGGAGCGUAGAUGGGUUGUUAAGGCAGGUGGGAAAGUUUGCGGCUCAACCGUAAAAUUGCAAUUGAUACUGGCAGUCUUGAGUACAGUAGAGGUAGGCGGAAUUCGUGGUGUAGCGGUGAAAUGCUUAGAUAUCACGAGGAACUCCGAUUGCGAAGGCAGCUUACUAAACUGCCACUGACAUUGAUGCUCGAAAGUGUGGGGAGCAAACAGGAUUAGAUACCCGGGUAGUC
rnacentral:rRNA from 1 species